UACAGAGGGGGCAAGCGUUGUUCGGAAUUACUGGGCGUAAAGCGCACGUAGGCGGAUCUUUAAGUCAGAGGUGAAAUCCCAAGGCUCAACCUUGGAACUGCCUUUGAUACUGGGGAUCUUGAGUCCGGGAGAGGUGAGUGGAACUGCGAGUGUAGAGGUGAAAUUCGUAGAUAUUCGCAAGAACACCAGUGGCGAAGGCGGCUCACUGGCCCGGUACUGACGCUGAGGUGCGAAAGCGUGGGGAGCAAACAGG
rnacentral:rRNA from 1 species